rnacentral:ncRNA from 1 species
AUCUUCAGGGCAGGGUGCAAUUCCCUACCGGUGGUACAGCCCACGAGCCGUAAGGCAUGAUUCGGUGAAACUCCGAAGCCGACAGUACAGUCUGGAUGAAAGAAGAU